AGUGAUGGCAGUGAAGCACGUUGUUUAUUUCGUGCAUGGAAAUGUAUGUAUACUGAAAUCAUGGAGUCUCCAUGACUGAAAUACUGAACAUUUUUCGAACGUUUUCCUCUUCUCCAUCAACAUCAAAUUGUUUCGAUCAAAUACGGCAUUAACUGAAAUGCUUCGAGCGUUUAUUCGUAGGCUACGGUUUAUCUUGCAGCAAUGGCGGAUGCCGUAGCGGUCAGAAAUCGUUCUCGCCGACGAGGAAUUCUUUGGUAUCUUCUCAUCAGGGAUUGAUUGCUGAUGCUGUCCACUUUGCACCCUCUCAGCGCUGGAACCUUCCAAAGUGAGCCGGAAAAUUAUUGAUGGAACGUGGAUUCAAAUGUGAAACUGAGUGAACAGAACUCCUUGAACAGAAAAGGGAAGUUCGCUGCAAAUAUGCAAAUUGUUUGUGACAUUAAUUGUGAAAAAUUGGAAUCGUCGAAAGAUGACCCAGUUGUAUCUAUGAUUUGAUCUGUAUAUAUGAGUGCAGAAAUAACAAUGGUAUUGAUGAUGACAGCAAAGCAAACUAUUAAUUUGACAU